AUAUCACUAAAAUAUAGACAACUGUAACUGUAGUUUAUCACACGCAGCGAAGUUGCCAAAUUGAUUAGGUACGGUAUAUGUCAAACUCAACCGUACCUGAUCAACCGCCACUAAAGUGGGGAUGAAGCUGCGAUAGGACUGUGGCCAAUACUGUUUUAAAAUUACUUAAGAUGUACACAUACUAUAUAGUACCAAAUGUAUCUGGAUAUGUAUAAGAACCAGAACAAAUAAACAUUUCAAGUGCACCUUGCAAAUUAUUCAGAAAUAUGUCAUUUCCUAGAUAUAUCAGUCAAAUGAACACCAUCUUCCUUUAAAAAAGUACUAUUAGGAAGAAUAUCUGGAUACUUUAUAUAAUGCCCCCCAUUCUUUAACACGAAUGAUGCAAUGGCACUAUUUAUCCUAAUUCUGCAUGCCAUUAUGCUAUCCUGACUUAUUGAAUGACGCCAAUUUGUUCUCGGUAAAAUUUGAGACAGACAAUCGAACUAUUAGGUAGAUAACUUUGUACCUUCUCCAAGGUGGCCUUGAUUUCAUUCCUUAAAAACCCUAGUUUUGUCUUCCCCAAAUCAUUUCCAGCAAUAUGAAGGACAAGAUAUUUCUUUUUAUUGUUGAUUCCAAAUCUUUUAAACACAUGCCACCA
rnacentral:lncRNA from 1 species